rnacentral:lncRNA from 1 species
ACCAAAACAUCGAACCCCUCGCAUGUAGUCCAAAUACAAAUUGAGAAUCAAAAUUACAUCAAAAACUCCUAAAACAGACUCUAUGACUUAGACGCAACUAGGAGUCUUGAAGUCUUGAUUUCCUGCAAAACAAUUCAUUCAAAGAUGAUUAGCACUAAAUUCUUAUACCUUCUCCCCCUUUGUUCAUAUCUCCACCUUUGUUUUUGAACUCAUCAUCCUCUGCUUUAGUUCAAUGCCUGUUCAUGCAUGCUCUGCCCCUUCAUCUACGCUCUCCCCCUUCAUCCAUCUACGCUCUCCCCCUUCAUCUACGCUCUUCCCCUUUUUGUCAAAAAUUGCCAAAA